AAUCUGUGUUGCGGGUACUUUCUCAGGAUCUCCUUGAACGUUUCCCACUUCUCAAAUAGAGACUCUAAUUCUGAUAGUACAAAGAUGAGAUCUUAUUCCUAAGCUU